rnacentral:rRNA from 1 species
UACGAAGGGGGCUAGCGUUGCUCGGAAUCACUGGGCGUAAAGGGUGCGUAGGCGGGUUUUUAAGUCAGAGGUGAAAUCCUGGAGCUCAACUCCAGAACUGCCUUUGAUACUGAGAAUCUUGAGUACGGGAGAGGUGAGUGGAACUGCGAGUGUAGAGGUGAAAUUCGUAGAUAUUCGGCAAGAACACCAGUGGCGAAGGCGGCUCACUG